rnacentral:rRNA from 1 species
AUGUGUGUCCAAAAAGACCAAGGAGGCAUGGGCUUCCGAGAUAUACAUUGUUUCAAUCUGGCAUUGCUAGCCAAACAGGCGUGGCAUUUGCCUGAUAAUCCAGAAUCGUUAUGUGCUACAAUUUUGAGAGCAAAAUACUUCCCACAUGGUGAUUUAAUGAACGCAAAUCUAAAGAAGGGUUCCUCUUUUACCUGGCAAAGCAUUAUGGCAGGAGUUAAUUCCCUAAGGAAUGGUUAUAUCUGGCGAGUUGGAAAUGGACAAAGAUUGAUAUUUUGGGAUGCAUGGAUCCUGAAUUGUGUAAAUAGAAAAAUUAUUACUCCUAGAAGGAGGCAUCUUUUUUCAAAGGUUUCUGACCUUAUUGACCUAAUCAUGAAUUGUUGGGAUGAAGACUUGGUGACACAAACGUUGUGGCCAAUUGACGCUCAAAGGGUGCUCGUGAUUCUUGUUUUGAUGCAUGAUAUGCCGAACUUCAUUGCUUGGAGUUACACAAAAAAUGGCUUGUUCACUAUUCGAUCAGCGGAAUGGAACCAACAACAUGGGAGGAAAUUGCAAUAUACAAAUGGUAUGGGUAGAACUAAUGCUAAUCCUAUCUGGGGUAAGAUCUGGAAACUAUCUUGUCCGGCAAAGGUAAAAAAUUUGAUCUAGUGUACAUUGCAUGCAACUCUCCCGUGUCGUGUUACGCUCGCUAAUAGACUCAUGAAAAUUUCGCCCAUCUGCCCAUCAUGCUCAAAUGGGCCAGAAGACACAAAACACGUCUUGUUCCUGUGUCAGAAGGCGAAAGAGGAUUUGGACAAGUUAGAGCAACUCUAG